GACGAACGCUGGCGGCGUGCUUAACACAUGCAAGUCGAACGGAAAGGCCCUGCUUUUGUGGGGUGCUCGAGUGGCGAACGGGUGAGUAACACGUGAGUAACCUGCCCUUGACUUUGGGAUAACUUCAGGAAACUGGGGCUAAUACCGGAUAGGAGCUCCUGCUGCAUGGUGGGGGUUGGAAAGUUUCGGCGGUUGGGGAUGGACUCGCGGCUUAUCAGCUUGUUGGUGGGGUAGUGGCUUACCAAGGCUUUGACGGGUAGCCGGCCUGAGAGGGUGACCGGCCAAAUUGGGAAGGAGAUACGGCCCAGACUCCUACGGGGGGGAGCAGUGGGGAAUAUUGGAAAAGGGGGGGAAGCCGGAUGCAGCAACGCCGGGGGCGGGAUGACGGCCUUCGGGUUGUAAACCGCUUUCGCCUGGGACGAAGCGUGAGGGACGGGAAUGGGUAAAGAAGCACCGGCCAACUACGG
rnacentral:rRNA from 1 species